rnacentral:rRNA from 1 species
UACGGAGGAUCCGAGCGUUAUCCGGAUUUAUUGGGUUUAAAGGGUGCGUAGGCUGGCCGUUAAGUCAGCGGUGAAAUCCCCGUGCUCAGCGCGGGAACUGCCGUUGAUACUGGCGGUCUUGAUUCAUGUCGAGGGCGGCGGAAUGUGAAGUGUAGCGGUGAAAUGCGUAGAUAUUUCACAGAACUCCGAUUGCGAAGGCAGCUGCCUAGAGAUGCAAUGACGCUGAGGCACGAAAGCAUGGGUAU